AGUUAACGCUGGCGGAAUGCUUUACACAUGCAAGUCGGGCGGCAGCGCGGGGGCAACCCUGGCGGCGAGCGGCGAACGGGUGAGUAAUACAUCGGAACGUGUCCUUGAGUGGGGGAUAGCUCGGCGAAAGCCGGAUUAAUACCGCAUAAGCUCUGAGGAGGAAAGCGGGGGACUGGUAACGGCCUCGCGCUGUUGGAGCGGCCGAUGUCGGAUUAGCUAGUUGGUGGGGUAAAGGCCCACCAAGGCGACGAUCCGUAGCUGGUCUGAGAGGAUGAUCAGCCACACUGGAACUGAGACACGGUCCAGACUCCUACGGGAGGCAGCAGU
rnacentral:rRNA from 1 species